rnacentral:lncRNA from 10 species
GGGACCCCAAGCCGCUGUAGGCCAGCCUGACUGCGUCGGUGCGAGUCCUACUGUUUCACGUGGCUGGAGCUCACGAGAAAACCGUUCUAAAGUUUCGCCUCCACAUGCGUGUGUGCCUAAUUAAAAACCACCAGGUGGGACUGCUGAGAUAACACUCAGAUACCCUUCCUUGCUGGGCGAUUAUCCUUAACUUUAGGAUUAAAUCAGAUCAGUGGAAAAGACACUCCCCUCUGGGCUCUCUCCCCCAUUUUAGUGAGCGUGUAUGUAAACGGAAGUUUCUGCAGGUCAAUCUGGCUACAUUAAAUUUUUACACGCCAUUUGACUCAGCAGUUUCAUCUUUGAGACUUUAACCUACGGAAACACCAAGGCAAGUGCCAAGACGUAUGUUCCAGGAUGUUCUCAGCUGUGUGGUUUAUAAUAGUAAAAAACAGAAAAUAAACGUCCAAGUGAAAAUUGGUAAUAACAAUAUCUACACAAUAAAUAUUGUGCAAGAAUUUAGGGAAUAACUUAUUGUAAUAAUAUAAAAAGCCAAAACAAAAAAGCCACUUGCCAAUUAUUAUGUAUGAUAAUAAUAAAAUCGACUUACCAAUUAGUAUGUAUACAUACCAAUUAGUAUGUAUAACAAUAUGAUAAUAGUAGGUAAAAUCUACUUACCAAUUUGUAUGUAUAAUAGUGUUGUACCAAUUAGUGUGUAUAAUAAUAUAUAUUAAUUAUAUAUAACAUUAAUUAUAUAUAAAUAAAAUACAUCAUUUAAUAAUAUAUACUAAUAAUAUCUAAUUCAUAUAUACUAUGUACUAACAAUAUAUAGUAAUAUGUAUAAUACCCCAUGACUUAUAAACAAACAGAAAAGU